rnacentral:rRNA from 1 species
GAGUUUGAUCAUGGCUCAGAUUGAACGCUGGCGGCAUGCCUUACACAUGCAAGUCGAACGGUAACGGGUUAAGCCGACGAGUGGCGAACGGGUGAGUAAUAUAUCGGAACGUGCCCAAUCGUGGGGGAUAACGCAGCGAAAGUUGUGCUAAUACCGCAUAAGAUCUACGGAUGAAAGCGGGGGAUCGCAAGACCUCGCGCGAGUGGAGCGGCCGAUAUCAGAUUAGCUAGUUGGUGAGGUAAAGGCUCACCAAGGCGACGAUCUGUAGCUGGUCUGAGAGGACGACCAGCCACACUGGGACUGAGACACGGCCCAGACUCCUACGG